rnacentral:rRNA from 1 species
GAGUCAUUGGGACAUUGAAACCUAAAGGCGCAAUGAAAGUGAAGAUCGGCCUCGCGCCGAUCGAGGGAGGAUGGGUCGCGUCACGAUGCGACCCCGCACUCCCGGGGCGUCUCGUUCUCGUUUCGAGAUGAGGCGCACCCAGAGCGUACACGUUGGGACCCGAAAGAUGGUGAACUAUGCCUGGUCAGGACGAAGUCAGGGGAAACCCUGAUGGAGGUCCG